AGGGGGGCUGGAGUGAGACACACACUAAGAGAAAGGAAGCCUGGGAGAGGACAGUGGGAAGGAGAAUGAUGCUCUUAUUAGCAGAUGGUGUUUGAAAGGGAGAAAAAGAGUUUUCUAACAGGCACUCAGGGAAAUCCAAGAGGGAAAAUUUAUGGGGGAAAUGAUCUCCCCUAAAGGGGUGAAAAAGGAUGGGGGUCGGACAGCAGGGCGUCGUCCCUCCCAUCAACCACCAGGUGGCGCUGUUGGAAAAGAAAAUGCGCUUGGCCUCGGGGCCCGGCCGGGCCGUGCUCUCCUCCCUUGCUGGGGCCAGAUUCCAGGGCCAGAUUCCAGGGCCUUCCAAGGACUCCCACUCCUCCCUGGCGUCCAGGCAUUUGCACGCAGCGCCUCGUGGGCGCCCAGGAACGAGCCAGGAAAUUGGAGUGGAUAGUGGCAUUUUAAGAGUUGGACCAUACUGCCAGGGAGAAGAGCUGUGGUGCUAGAAAUACAGAGAGAGAGGCUACUUCCUUACUGCCAGAACCCUGCUGAGACCCUGCUGUCCCAGGAAUCCGUAGUACUAGCAGCAAAGCCAUGGUGUCUCCCCAAGCAUCUUCAGCCUUCUUCGGCAAGGUGAGAAGAUAAAGAGUUUAACAAGAGAACCAGAAGAGAGUCUUGCAUCAAUCUUUAAUUUCAGGAUCAACCUACCUCAUAGGCUUGGAGUGAGGAUUUGCUAUGGUUUUCCUCUAGUCUGGCCAUGUGAGACAAAGAGUCACAGUUAUUGGGAUCCCUGGGUGGCGCAGCGGUUUGGCGCCUGCCUUUGGCCCAGGGCGCGAUCCUGGAGACCCGGGAUCGAAUCCCACGUCGGGCUCCCGGUGCAUGGAGCCUGCUUCUCCCUCUGCCUGUGUCUCUGCCUCUUUC
rnacentral:lncRNA from 1 species